rnacentral:rRNA from 1 species
UACAGAGGGUGCUAGCGUUGUUCGGAAUCAUUGGGCGUAAAGGGCUCGUAGGCGGUCUGUCGCGUCGAAAGUGAAAACCCAGGGCUUAACCCUGGGCCUGCUUCCGAUACGGGCAGACUAGAGGUAUGCAGGGGAGAACGGAAUUCCUGGUGUAGCGGUGAAAUGCGCAGAUAUCAGGAGGAACACCGGUGGCGAAGGCGGUUCUCUGGGCAUUACCUGACGCUGAGGAGCGAAAGUGUGGGGAGCGAACAGG